UUUGAAUAUGUACCACAUACAUUCUCACAGGACAACAUCAAUCCAGAGAAAGCUGCAAGCAAACCAAUUCUAUCAGUUGACUUCAAAUUUCAGGAUUCAAUUCCAGGAUUCUUCUUCUCUAUUUGCCCAACCAAGCAACGUAUUUCCUCUCUCAACAGCUUUCAUGAUUCCUCCCUUGACCACCUUAAUUUCCUUCGGAGACCACCGAGUUUAAGUUGACUUUAACUUCCAAAUUAGGGAAGAAAGAAACAGACCAAAUGAACAACAUAAUUUUGCAGUCAAAUCAAGAAGGAAAUUAAGAAAGCAUCAAAGAAGGGCAAAGAAAAGUUAGAGAAAAACUUGAAGCCAAUGAUUAUGAAGAUGAACCAAUUCCACCAAACAUCUAACAUAUUGACUGUAUAUGGUUUCAUAGCUUGUAUAGUACAGGGUUUAUACUAUAUGAGAUGUUCCGACAUGGUUUUUACACGGUUUAGGGAAGUAAAAAGAGGUGGGCUGGAAGCUGAAAUCUUGCGACGCGCUUCAUUUCUGGGAAUCUCAACUAACAGACAUGGCUGACCAACGACCUGGGUUUUUUUUUAUUGUAUAUACAUAUAUGUUUUUAGGGCAAAUUUGAAAAAAAUACCAAAUUUAAAUAUAUAUAUAUAUAUAUGGAAAUGCAACAUUUUCUAAAAAAGUUUAGGGAAAUAAAUUAUUUUUUUAGAGAAUGUGAAAGUGUGAAAGUGUGAGAUGUGAGAUGUGUUUUCUGAUUUAUUUAUUUUUUUACAUAUUAGUCCCUUUUGUUACAUGGUUAAACUUUAAUAAUUUUAUUUUGGGUCUUGGAUUCAAUUUCUUUUCUA